rnacentral:rRNA from 1 species
AGCAGUCGCCGCGGUAAUACGGAGGGUGCAAGCGUUAUCCGGAUUUAUUGGGUGUAAAGGGUCCGUAGGCGGAUCUGUAAGUCAGUGGUGAAAUCUCACAGCUUAACUGUGAAACUGCCAUUGAUACUGCAGGUCUUGAGUAAAAUUGAAGUGGCUGGAAUAAGUAGUGUAGCGGUGAAAUGCAUAGAUAUUACUUAGAACACCAAUUGCGAAGGCAGGUCACUAAGAUGUAACUGACGCUGAUGGACGAAAGCGUGGGGAGCGAACAGGAUUAGAUACCCGUGUAGUCCCUGUCUCUUAUAC